CAGUCGCCACGGGAAUUCGUAGGUGGCGAGCGUUGUCCGGAAUUAUUGGGCGUAAAGGGAGCGCAGGCGGACAUAUAAGUCCAUCUUAAAAGUGCGGGGCUCAACCCCGUGAGGGGAUGGAAACUGUAUGCCUUGAGUGCAGGAGAGGAAAGCGGAAUUCCCAGUGUAGCGGUGAAAUGCGUAGAUAUUGGGAGGAACACCAGUGGCGAAGGCGGCUUUCUGGACUGUAACUGACGCUGAGGCUCGAAAGCCAGGGGAGCGAACGGGAUUAGAUACCCCCGUAGUCCCUGUCUCUUAUACA
rnacentral:rRNA from 1 species